GUCUCUGUAGUGUAAUGGUUAGCACUCCGGUCUUCAAAACCGGAAGACCGAGUUCGAUUCCUGGCUGAGACG